CAAGUCGAGGGGCAGCAUGAACUUAGCUUGCUAAGUUUGAUGGCGACCGGCGCACGGGUGAGUAACACGUAUCCAACCUGCCUCAUACUCGGGGAUAGCCUUUCGAAAGAAAGAUUAAUACCCGAUGGCAUAGUUCUUCCGCAUGGUAGAACUAUUAAAGAAUUUCGGUCAUCGAUGGGGAUGCGUUCCAUUAGGUUGUUGGCGGGGUAACGGCCCACCAAACCGACGAUGGAUAGGGGUUCUGAGAGGAAGGUCCCCACAUUGGGACUGAGACACGGCCCAGACUCC
rnacentral:rRNA from 1 species